UCGCAAUCUUCUUUAUCGAUUUGAACUCUCAAAAAAAAUUACGCUGUUAUCCCUAAGGUAACUUUUUCUUUUAGUCUAAACAAUAGGAUCAAAAAAUCAUUAAUUAAUGAUUAAAUAAAAAAAAAGUUUAUUAAAUUUUUCUGUCACCCCAACUAAACAAAUUUAUAUUUACAAAAUUUUUAUUCCAAUAAUUUAUUAACAACAAAUUUGUAAAGCUCUAUAGGGUCUUCUUGUCUUCUAUAAUUAUUUAAGCUUUUUCACUUAAAAAUAAAAUUCUAAAAAAAUUUUCUUGAGAGAGCAGGUUUCUCAUCAAUCCCUUCAUUCCAGCUUCUAAUUAAGAAACUAAUUAUUAUGCUACCUUUGCACGGUCAAAAUACCGCGGCCAUUUAAAAUUAACUCAUUGGGCAGGAGCGACCUUAAAUUAUAGUCAAAAGGAC
rnacentral:rRNA from 1 species